rnacentral:rRNA from 1 species
UACAGAGGGGGCAAGCGUUGUUCGGAAUUACUGGGCGUAAAGGGCGCGUAGGCGGCGCGGUAAGUCACUUGUGAAAUCUCUGAGCUUAACUCAGAACGGCCAAGUGAUACUGCAGUGCUAGAGUGUGGAAGGGGCAAUCGGAAUUCUUGGUGUAGCGGUGAAAUGCGUAGAUAUCAGGAGGAACACCGGUGGCGAAGGCGGGUCUCUGGGCAGUAACUGACGCUGAGGAGCGAAAGCGUGGGGAGCGAACAGG